GGCAAGCAACGGCAGACGUUCCCCUCUGCAGCCUUCCAGAACUGACGCUCCGCCGCUGCCACCGGCGAUCAGGGAUCCGUCGUCGGAGGAAAGACAGUGGCCCACCCGCGGAUCCUGCCCGAAUCUGCGGCAAUAACCGCGCGGGGCGGAGGAGAACGUGGGCGAAGGCAUGGUCCCAAAGGCCGUCGCCCACAGCCUUGGCUCUUCCGCGUUGCUGAUCAGCGGCAUCUUUUUAAGCCUGACCUGGGCGGCGGGGGCCCAGCAGGCCGUGCCCUGCCAAGCCCCGCUGCAAUGGGAGGGGCGCACGGUGGAAUACGACCACAGCAGCGGCACGAAUACCCGCGCAGCGGUGACCUACGACAGUCCCAACCAGCGCCUCCGUAUUCUGGAAGAAAAAAAGAGGCUCAUCCCUUGCAAGAAAUUUUUUGAAUAUAUAUAUCUUUAUAAAGAUGCAGUGAUGUUUCAGAUUGAACAAGUGACAAAGCUGUGUUCCAAGAUUGCUUUGAGUGAGCCAUGGGAUCCUUAUGACAUUCCUGACAACUCAACCUAUGAAGAUCAGUACUACAUCGGAGGACCGGGUGACCAAAUUAUUGUCCAGGAAUGGUCUGACAGGAAGCCAGCUAGGAAACUUGAAACUUGGGUGGGAGUUUACACAGUCAAGGAUUGUUACCCGGUUCAAGAAACUUACACCAAGAACUACAGUGUGACAACCUCCACCCGUUUCUUUGAUCUCAAGGUUGGAAUAAGUGACCCAUCUGUUUUCAUCCCUCCCAGCACCUGCCAGACAGCUCAGCCAGAAAAAAUGACUUAUGCAUGCUGAUGGUAGAUCUUGACUUCUAUAUUACAUAUGUAAGCUCAGUAUAUAUUAUUAAUAACUAGCUGCUGAUGUCUAAUAUGACUGUUGCACUUUGCAGAAUGCAGGUUCUAACAGACUAGAAAAGGGAUUUUCUUUGGCGUGUUAUUCUAAAUAUGUUCUCACAUCCUACAAUUGUAAGCAAAUAAUCAUUUAUUUGUAUUUGUUUUAGCUGCUAACAUCCUAUGGCAGAAGCUGUUUCUGUUUUCCAAGAGGUAUAAUGUAUUUCCAAAAGCAUAUUAAAAUAUGAAAUAGGUGUGUUCAUUUUGGAGGGAUGGAAAACUAUAUUACAUGUAGCAGAUAAGGUAUUACCAUAAGAUGGCACAUUGAUUUUCUGAAAGCUGCUAUUGUGAAUUAAUAUUCCUCUUGUUCAAGAUUUUCUGUCAAGGGUCAUUUAAUUUUAGCUGAAUUGCUGUGAUACAGAGAAUGAGAAACAUUUAAAUCUUCUGUUUGCAUAUGAAAAGAUAUAUCUGAUGCUUUUCUUGUCUUCAUAGUCACUAUUAAAACAUUUAUAAUGGCUUGUCAGAAAACUGCACUUGGCCACUUAUAAAACAUUCAUAAGAAAUACAGGACAUGUUAUUACUCUGAUAGUCCAGAAGAGAAGAAAAUAUAGUUAAGAUUAUUGUUAUGACAGCAAGGAUAAGAGUGGUCACCAGGGUUAUCACGGUUGGUUUGGUUAAUUGGAACAAAUUCAAGAGGAAGAAAAAUUUUAAUGGAUGAUACAAAAGCCUGCUCUUUAUAUAAUCAAAAUUAAAUUACAAAUAAGGAACAUAUAUGAAAAGUAUUUUGUUAUUACUGUGGUUAUAGUUCCUCCCCCUGAAAAAUACAUGUGAUGGUAUCAAAUAUGUAGGGCUGUCUAAUCAGUCCUACAAAAAUCCAGACAAAGAUGGACAAGAGACAACUAUUCUUCCUGAAGGCCCUACAUGAUUUGUUCUGCAUAAAGAAAAAUGGAAGCGUAGGUUGAAAAAAGAUAGACUAAUGAAUUAUACUAUUUGGGUCUAACUCAAAG